rnacentral:lncRNA from 1 species
UCAAACUUUAGAUAUAUACUUUAACAUGUAGUUUCUCUAAAUUUUUCUUUAGCAUUUAUGUUGCUAUUUUAAAAAAAAAACAGAAUAUGAAAAAUAUUACAUCUAAAUGUGUCAUAGGGCACGCCGUAAAAUGUAUGUGAUAGACAUUGUUUUGAACAUUGACGGUCAAACUGAGAUGGAGGAACUAUAAAUAGGAAAAAGGAAAUGAAAUAUCAAUACAAAUAAUUUUGCAUGCCAUCUUUCGGUGUUUGAUUUUGCUUAUCAUAGGACGUACGAGAACAGUUGUGCCCUAUCUUGGAAGUCCACAAACACUUAGGG